GAUGAACGCUGGCGGCGUGCCUAAUACAUGCAAGUCGAGCGAAUGGAUUAAGAGCUUGCUCUUAUGAAGUUAGCGGCGGACGGGUGAGUAACACGUGGGUAACCUGCCCAUAAGACUGGGAUAACUCCGGGAAACCGGGGCUAAUACCGGAUAACAUUUUGAACCGCAUGGUUCGAAAUUGAAAGGCGGCUUCGGCUGUCACUUAUGGAUGGACCCGCGUCGCAUUAGCUAGUUGGUGGGGUAACGGCUCACCAAGGCAACGAUGCGUAGCCGACAUGGGAGGGUGGUCGGCCACACUGGGACUGAGACACGGCCCAGACUCCUACGGGAGGCAGCAGUAGGGAAUCUUCCGCAAUGGACGAAAGUCUGACGGAGCAACGCCGCGUGAGUGAUGAAGGCUUUCGGGUCGUAAAACUCUGUUGUUAGGGAAGAACAAGUGCUAGUUGAAUAAGCUGGCACCUUGACGGUACCUAACCAGAAAGCCACGGCUAACUACGUGCCAGCAGCCGCCGUAA
rnacentral:rRNA from 1 species